rnacentral:rRNA from 1 species
ACGAACGCUGGCGGCGUGCCUAAUACAUGCAAGUAGAACGCUGAAGGAGGAGCUUGCUUCUCUGGAUGAGUUGCGAACGGGUGAGUAACGCGUAGGUAACCUGCCUGGUAGCGGGGGAUAACUAUUGGAAACGAUAGCUAAUACCGCAUAAUAGUAGAUGUUGCAUGACAUUUGCUUAAAAGGUGCAAUUGCAUCACUACCAGAUGGACCUGCGUUGUAUUAGCUAGUUGGUGGGGUAACGGCUCACCAAGGCGACGAUACAUAGCCGACCUGAGAGGGUGAUCGGCCACACUGGGACUGAGACACGGCCCAGACUCCUACGGGAGGCAGCAGUAGGGAAUCUUCGGCAAUGGACGGAAGUCUGACCGAGCAACGCCGCGUGAGUGAAGAAGGUUUUCGGAUCGUAAAGCUCUGUUGUAAGAGAAGAACGAGUGUGAGAGUGGAAAGUUCACACUGUGACGGUAGCUUACCAGAAAGGGACGGCUAACUACGUG